ACGGGGUGCAGCAGGCGCGAAACCUUUACAAUGCUGGAAACAGCGAUAAGGGAACCUCGAGUGCCGCGAUACAAUCGCGGCUGUCUAGUUGCCUAAAAAGCAAUUGAUAGCAAGGCCCGGGCAAGACCGGUGCCAGCCGCCGCGGUAGCACCGGCGGCUCGAGUGGUAACCGCUAUUAUUGGGUCUAAAGGGUCUGUAGCCGGCCUGGUUAGUCCCUUGGGAAAUCUGGCUGCUCAACAGUCAGGCUUUCAGGGGAUACUGCUAGGCUCGAGACCGGGAGAGGUGAGAGGUACUUCAGGGGUAGGGGUGAAAUCUUGUAAUCCUUGAAGGACCACCAGUGGUGAAGGCGUCUCACCAGAACGGAUCUGACGGCAAGGGACGAAAGCUAGGGGCACGAACCGGAUUAGAUACCCGGGUAGUCCUAGCCGUAAACGAUACUCGCUAGGUGUCGGCCACGGUGCGACCGUGGUCGGUGCCGUAGGGAAGCCGUGAAGCGAGCCACCUGGGAAGUACGGCCGCAAGGCUGAAACUUAAAGGAAUUGGCGGGGGAGCAC
rnacentral:rRNA from 1 species